UAAGACUUGCAGGAUACUAACCCACAUUUUUUGAAUGCAACUCAAACUCUUUAAUUAAAAUAAAGUCU
rnacentral:tRNA from 1 species